rnacentral:rRNA from 1 species
CCUGAUCAGCCAUGCCGCGUGUAUGAAGAAGGCUCUUCGGGUUGUAAAGUACUUUCAGCGGGAGGAGGCGACGUGGUUAAUAACCACAGCAAUUGACGUUACCCAGAAGAAGCACCGGCUAACUCCGUGCCAGCAGCCGCGGUAAUACGGAGGGUGCAAGCGUUAAUCGGAAUUACUGGGCGUUUCAAGCAAGAGAGCGGUCUGUCAAGUCGGAUGUGAAAUCCCCGGGCUCAACCUGGGAACUGCAUUCGAAACUGGCAGGCUAGGUCUUGUAGAGGGGGGUAGAAUUCCAGGUGUAGCGGUGAAAUGCGUAGAGAUCUGGAGGA